rnacentral:piRNA from 1 species
UACAGGGACUCUGUGUAAGAAUGUU